rnacentral:rRNA from 1 species
GAUGAACGCUGGCGGCGUGCCUAAUACAUGCGAGUAGAACGCUGAAGGAAGGAGCUUGCUCUUUCCGGAUGAGUUGCGAACGGGUGAGUAACGCGUAGGUAACCUGCCUGGUAGCGGGGGAUAACUAUUGGAAACGAUAGCUAAUACCGCAUAACAGUAGAUGUUGCAUGAUAUCUACUUAAAAGGUGCAAUUGCACCACUACCAGAUGGACCUGCGUUGUAUUAGCUAGUUGGUGAGGUAACGGCUCACCAAGGCGACGAUACAUAGCCGACCUGAGAGGGUGAUCAGCCACACUGGGACUGAGACACGGCCCAGACUCCUACGGGAGGCAGCAGUAGGGAAUCUUCGGCAAUGGACGGAAGUCUGACCGAGCAACGCCGCGUGAGUGAAGAAGGUUUUCGGAUCGUAAAGCUCUGUUGUAAGAGAAGAACGAGUGUGAGAGUGGAAAGUUCACACUGUGACGGUAUCUUACCAGAAAGGGACGGCUAACUACGUG